CCGUUGCUGGCGGCGCUGGAUGAUUGACGGCGCGGUCCAGCCAGUGAAAAGAGAGGCUCGUGGAACACCCCCCUCCUCCGCUCAGGGCUUUGGUGAGGACGCGGGAGCUGGGACGCGCGCUGGGGGCGACGUGAUUGACAGCGGGCUUCUCCAACCGAGAGGAGACCAGGACCACCAGGAAGCUGGCAGGAGCCAUCCUGGGACUUGCAGCCCUGCCAGUGAGGAAAAGUGAGGGGGUCCGCAGUGCAAGGUGAAAAUGCUUGAAGACGGAGACAUGGAUAUUUAAUUGGAAGUCAGUGCCUGAUUAGGUUUUAGGAUGGAAUUGAAUCUCUUUGUGGAAGGAAGGCACUUGCCCACAUGAAGGGUUUAACUGUGCAGGGUCUGAUGAAGAGACACUUGUCCCAGAGCCACAGAAGCUUGUGGGAAGGCUGCAGAGAGAUGUGCUCCGUUACUGUGGAAAAACAAGUAACAUUAGGAUUUCUAUGUAAAAAGUCAAGAAACUACUUUCCCUUCAAGGAAAAGAAACGCUGUUGAAGACAAUGCUGCCUGUGCAUCAGCUCUCUCUGACUAUAACUGUGUCUUAAGUCAGGAGAAAAAGAACUGCAAACUACUUAGCUGAUAAGCACGAGCAAUUAAUUUAGCUGUGGCAUACAGUAGGUAAGCCUUAUAUUGGUGUGAGUUGUGUGCAGUUAAAUCUGGCUCAUAAAACAAACAUAAAUUUGGGCAGCUACUCAAAGUCCUGUACUACCUCAUCUCAUUCGGAAGCAUAGUCAUGGCACUGAUAUGUAACAUAUUUAUUUGUCGAUAUGUCUGAUGUUUGCAUAUAGGGUCUGAACUAGAAAGGCAAAGAGAUACGCUGGGAUAUAGUUAAUAUUGCCCUCAGUAUCCUUGAUACACGCAGUGUUGUGUUCACUUAUCAUAGCACAUUUGAGAUCCUCUUGUCAUUACCCUGAGGAGCUGCAGAAAGUUGUUGAUGUGAGAGAGCAUGACAACCCACUUUCUUCACUUCCUUCCUUACACUCUUGUGUAAAGCUGUGGUCACCGUCACAGAAGAAAAAAUAACGCAUACUUUUUUGGUCCUUCUUUUUAAAGGCUGUAUCAGGCUUCUUCCUUGUCGCAACAGAAUUAUGCUUUGGUUCUGCUGGAGGGACCCUCAUGGUUGCAUGGACACCAGAGAGCUGCAGCAGAUGGUGCAAAGUGCUGCGCCUCGCAAGCAGACAUACAGCCAGUCCCAUACAGACCUCUCACAGUUCUCCUUGGGAUGCAGCUUAGAAAGGCAGAUUUCAGCCGUGAUGUAAAGAAGGAUCCCAUCAGCUUACAGGGAUUUCUUGCAACUUCAAAUGUGGCAUCUCUGUAAUAAAGGGUGUCUCACUAAGUUGAGGGUUGAGCCAUGCAGGACAUUUAGACGUUAAAGGGCCGAGCACUGCAUUGUUGGGGGGGUUGUGGGGUUUAAAAUAGGGAAGAUAAGAGCUUUGUUCCUCUACAGAAUACACGGGGGAGAGAGAAACAUCUGAGUGAACAAAUGGGGCAAGUUAAGAAUAGCUACUUUCACAAAAUUUACACCAAUGUAACUACUCAGUGGCGGGGGGUGGGGUGUUUUGGUUUCAUUUUAUUGUUUUGUUUUGUGCAUGUGGUUUGGUUUGGUUUGUUUUUCCUCCAGUGUAUUUGAGAAAUAAAGUCUUCCAGUUUUGUUUGAAAA